GAUGAACGCUGGCGGCGUGCCUAACACAUUCAAGUCGAACGGACUUUACUGAGAAGCUUGCUUUUUGGUAAAGUUAGUGGCGGACGGGUGAGUAACGCGUGAGCAACCUGCCUCUGUGAGUGGAAUAACGUCUGGAAACGGACGCUAAUACCGCAUGACACAUUUUGACCGCAUGAUCGAAAUGUCAAAGAUUUAUCGCACAGAGAUGGGCUCGCGUCUGAUUAGAUGGUUGGUGAGGUAACGGCUCACCAAGUCGACGAUCAGUAGCCGAACUGAGAGGUUGAUCGGCCACAUUGGGACUGAGACACGGCCCAGACUCCUACGGGAGGCAGCAGUGGGGAAUAUUGCGCGAAUGGGGGCAACCCUGACGCAGCAACGCCGCGUGAAGGAUGAAGGUCUUCGGAUCGUAAACUUUGUCUUAUGGGAAGAAAACAGACGGUACCAUAGGAGGAAGCCACGGCUAACUACGUG
rnacentral:rRNA from 1 species